CAGGUGACUGGUGCUGUGGUACAGGCACAUACAAGUCCAACAUCCCGGAGUGAGAUUACAGAUGCCAGUACCUCUCAUAUCCUGUUCUGAUGGACGUUGGUGCCUGGAUCUGGAGGGAGUUGGAGUCAGAAUUAUCUGUUGAAGAAGAUGUCCCUUGAGAGGAAGGCUACUGUAAAACUGGUGAAAUGAAAAUGAAUCUGUGGGUUGGAGCUCCAACAAUAGUAUUUUUGAAGACUGGUAUCUUCUGUUGCCAAGAAAAAUGACUAGUUUGAAAUGAGUUCUUAUGCAUGUUUAGAAAGAAAAGUCUUUAAAGUGAGUGUAUCUUUAAACUGUGCUUAAAUGUGUACAUGAGGAAUAUGUUUUAUGUGAAAUAUGUUCUUUUGUUAUGUGUUAUUUAGCUGUGGGUUAUGUAACUUAUGUUCUAAUAUUCAGAAGCUUUGUUUUAGGUACAAGUACCAUUCUCAAGAUUGCCAAUUUCAUCACAUGUUAAAUGACAUAAGAAUCUUUGGGCUAGGUAAAUGGAAAA